rnacentral:rRNA from 1 species
UACAGAGGUCCCAAGCGUUGUUCGGAUUCACUGGGCGUAAAGGGUGCGUAGGUGGUUAGGUAAGUCCGAUGUGAAAUCUCCAGGCUCAACCUGGAAAUGGCAUUGGAUACUAUCUAGCUUGAGGAGUGGAGGGGGGACUGGAAUUCUCGGUGUAGCAGUGAAAUGCGUAGAUAUCGAGAGGAACACCAGUGGCGAAGGCGGCUCGCUGGGCUCUACCUGACGCUGAGGCGCGAAAGCGUGGGGAGCGAACCGG